rnacentral:ncRNA from 2 species
AACUUAUCUAGAGUGGUGGAGGGAACUGACCCGUCGAAGCCCGGCAACCUAUUUGUUAGCCAAACAAAUAAAGGUGCUACGUUCAGCAGAGUAAAGCUCUGAGAGAUAAGAA